AUUGAACGCUAGCGGGAUGCCUUACACAUGCAAGUCGAACGGCAGGCGCGGACUUCGGUCUGGCGGCGAGUGGCGAACGGGUGAGUAAUGUAUCGGAACGUGCCCAGUAGCGGGGGAUAACUACUCGAAAGAGUAGCUAAUACCGCAUACGCCCUACGGGGAAAGGGGGGAUCGCAAGACCUCUCACUAUUGGAGCGGCCGAUAUCGGAUUAGCUAGUUGGUGAGGUAAAGGCUCACCAAGGCGACGAUCCGUAGCCGGUUUGAGAGGACGACCAGCCACACUGGGACUGAGACACGGCCCAGACUCCUACGGGAGGCAGCAGUGGGGAAUUUUGGACAAUGGGGGAAACCCUGAUCCAGCCAUUCCGCGUGUGCGAUGAAGGCCUUCGGGUUGUAAAGCACUUUUGGCAGGAAAGAAAUCGCAUCAAUUAAUACUUGGUGUGGAUGACGGUACCUGCAGAAUAAGCACCGGCUAACUACGUG
rnacentral:rRNA from 1 species